UGACUCCCAAGCCUAUCCUUGAUCCCAAAUACAAACGAGCUGGAGCGCCUAAAUAAUAUUCUCAAUCCUAUCAGUAAACCCUCAAGAGUACAAAUCAUGAUUACUCAUUAGGUACAGGUUCUCAAUUUAAUCAUACGGUUCAACCAUCUUUUGUCCAUUUCGAUAUAUGCCAACAUUUUUCAUACAAUGUCAUGAAUGGGGUUCGGUUCAACCUUGAGUCCAAAUGGACGGAGAGUCUUCAGUACACGGCCGUGGAUGUACACGGCGCAUGUGCUGGGCACGUGAUAUCAAAGUUGAUGAACGGCGUUAGUGAAUUAGUGAAUUGGGGUUAGUGAACAAGAAAAAUGCGGAAGAAUGCAGUAAAACAAAGUUUUACCAAACACCUUCGAAUUCUAUCUGGACCCUCUCUGCCCUCCUCCUGCUUCCUCGGCUUCUUCCUCAAGCGCUCUUAGCGACGCACCUCGCCUCUCCACUUCUCGCGCAUCUCGGCGGAGUUCCCGACUCCGAUUCGUGGCAGCUCGGUCCUCCUCUCCCUCUCGCUAACCCCAAUGUCAUAGAAAGAAUAGCACAAGUCUUCGCCUUUCAUGGCGACCCUGCGACUCCUGCACGGUCCAUCCUCCAACCGAAGCUAAACCCUCCCAAAGCCCUCCUCUCCAUUCGAGAUUCUUAUGGCGGUGCACGGGUUUGGAAGAAAUGCCAGCCCAGUGCUGUUAAUAUGUGCUCGUGGAGCUCAGCUGCUAGUUAUGUGACACCUCCUGGUGGCGUUGCUAAGUUUUCUGGCAAUCCCAUUGUCGUGAAGCAGCAAUUGUUGCAAACAGAG